UCAUGGCUCUAUCGAAGCUGGGUAUGUCUUCUGGUGGACAUACUUGGUCAAAGUGAGGCCAAUAUAAAAUUUCUACAAUGGUCACUGCUGAAUAUUUUCAUUAUUUUUGCAGUAUUACCCAAGUAGAAUACAUUU